rnacentral:rRNA from 1 species
GAUGAACGCUGGCGGCGUGCCUAAUACAUGCAAGUCGAGCGGACAGACGAGGAGCUUGCUCCUCUGACGUUAGCGGCGGACGGGUGAGUAACACGUGGAUAACCUACCUAUAAGACUGGGAUAACUUCGGGAAACCGGAGCUAAUACCGGAUAAUAUAUUGAACCGCAUGGUUCAAUAGUGAAAGACGGUUUUGCUGUCACUUAUAGAUGGAUCCGCGCCGCAUUAGCUAGUUGGUAAGGUAACGGCUUACCAAGGCAACGAUGCGUAGCCGACCUGAGAGGGUGAUCGGCCACACUGGAACUGAGACACGGUCCAGACUCCUACGGGAGGCAGCAGUAGGGAAUCUUCCGCAAAGGGCGAAAGCCUGACGGAGCAACGCCGCGUGAGUGAUGAAGGUCUUCGGAUCGUAAAACUCUGUUAUUAGGGAAGAACAAAUGUGUAAGUAACUAUGCACAUCUUGACGGUACCUAAUCAGAAAGCCACGGCUAACUACGUG